UAAACGGUGGGCGCUAGUUGUGCGAACCUUCCACGGUUUGUGCGACGCAGCUAACGCAUUAAGCGCCCCGCCUGGGGAGUACGAUCGCAAGAUUAAAACUCAAAGGAAUUGACGGGGCCCCGCACAAGCAGCGGAGCAUGCGGCUUAAUUCGACGCAACGCGAAGAACCUUACCAAGGCUUGACAUAUACAGGAAUACGGCAGAGAUGUCGUAGCCGCAAGGUCUGUAUACAGGUGGUGCAUGGUUGCCGUCAGCUCGUGUCGUGAGAUGUUGGGUUAAGUCCCGCAACGAGCGCAACCCUCGUUCUGUGUUGCCAGCAUUUAGUUGGGGACUCACAGGAGACUGCCGGGGUUAACUCGGAGGAAGGUGGGGAUGACGUCAAAUCAUCAUGCCCCUUAUGUCUUGGGCUGCACGCAUGCUACAAUGGCUGGUACAAACGGCUGCAAUACCGCAAGGUGGAGCGAAUCCGAGAAAGCCAGUCUCAGUUCGGAUUGGGGUCUGCAACUCGACCCCAUGAAGUCGGAGUUGCUAGUAAUCGUAGAUCAGCAACGCUACGGUGAAUACGUUCCCGGGGCUUGUACACACCGCCCGUCACAUCACGAAAGUCGGUAACACCCAAAAGUCAGUGGCCCAACCGUAAGGAGGGAGCUGCCAAAGGUGG
rnacentral:rRNA from 1 species